GCUGGGUGUGGUGGUGUGUGCCUGUAAUCCCAGCUACUCAGGAGGCUGAGGCAGGAGGAUUGCUUGAACCCGGGAGGUGGAGUUUGCAGUGAGCCAAGAUGGUGCCACUGCACUCCAGCCUGGGCAACAAAGUGAGACCUUGUCUCAC
rnacentral:SRP_RNA from 1 species